rnacentral:rRNA from 1 species
AUUGAACGCUGGCGGCAUGCCUUACACAUGCAAGUCGAACGGCAGCACGGGGCAACCUGGUGGCGAGUGGCGAACGGGUGAGUAAUGCAUCGGAACGUACCUUUCAGUGGGGGAUAACGUAGCGAAAGUUACGCUAAUACCGCAUAUUCUGUGAGCAGGAAAGCAGGGGAUCGCAAGACCUUGCGCUGAUUGAGCGGCCGAUGUCAGAUUAGCUAGUUGGUGAGGUAAAGGCUCACCAAGGCGACGAUCUGUAGCGGGUCUGAGAGGAUGAUCGGCCACGCUGGAACUGAGACGCGGUCCAGACUCCUACGGGAGGCAGCAGUGGGGAAUUUUGGACAAUGGGGGCAACCCUGAUCCAGCCAUGCCGCGUGAGUGAAGAAGGCCUUCGGGUUGUAAAGCUCUUUCGGCCGGGAAGAAAUCGCACGGGCUAAUACCCUGUGUGGAUGACGGUACCGGAAUAAGAAGCACCGGCUAGCUACGUGCCAGCAGCCGCGGUAACAC